UUGCUGGAGAAAUCCGGGAGAAGCGCGCGUGAGCGCGUUCUCUGUCGGCGCGAGUGCGCGCGCGUUCUAGCUAGUUCCUUGUUCUGUAUUAAGCUCUCUCGUUCUCGCUCUCCCCCCUUUGCUUUGGGGAGCCGCCGCCUUCUUCUGAUUGGCCGGCUGGAGUCCCGGCCAGGUGUCAGCAGAAGCAGAGGCAAGGAAAGGGCACCGAGUGUGGAAAGGGUGGCGGGGCAGCGUCGGGCUGAGGCACUGCGGCCGUUCUCGCCACCGCCGUUCGCCCUUUGCUCAGCAUCCCAUAGGUGCUCUACUGACGAGGAGAGCUGAACGCCGUCACCUUCCUCUGACAGCCGCUGCCAACGGAGGGAGCGACGCGCCGGCUUGUCCGGCGGCUGGUCCCCUCUUGGGACCCUCGCCUUGCUCUGGAGAGAGUCAAGCCUCUCUCUCUCUGUACCUCAGGACCCGCCACCUCCUCUGGAGCUGCUGGAGAGAUCAGGGUACGCCGCUGCCGAGGCGAGAGAUUCUUCAGCUAGUUUAUUGCACUGAGGAUAGAAAUAACCAUGGGGAGGAAGUUGGAUUUGUCUGGCUUGACUGAUGAUGAAGCCGAACAUGUCCUUCAGGUAGUCCAACGAGAUUUCACCCUCCGCAAAAAAGAAGAAGAUCGACUGAGUCUUUCCUUGUAGGGCUCGGUUUCCAGCUCCCUG